CUCUAGAUGCUCCAUGCCAGAGGCUACCUGGGCUGCUAUGUAGAUGAGGUCCUCGAAGUGCAUGUAUUUUCCGUCACCGGUUCUCAAAAAGUCAAUUCUGGCCCGAGAUCCCACAUUUCCGGCUGCGGUUUUGGACAGGGUUUGGCUAGGACGUGACACAAUCCCAGAGCGUUUUCUGAAAAAAAUGAUGAAUUCAAAUUGAUCGAGAAUCCAUUUCUCGAUUCAUGAGUACGAGUCCUUUACGGAGAGGCUGUAUCCCCUAGGAGUGUGUUCGCUGGGUCGAACCAAGAACGUACCCCGAGGAUUUUCGUCGACUAGAAGAAGUUUGCCAGCCUCCUUUCUCGAUACGUCAUCGAAGAACCAGCUGUAAGCAUAGAACAGAGCAUUAUCACCCUACGCUGCGAUGGCAAGACAGCGAGUGAACUGAACUGAUUCAUUCGGAAGAAAAAGAAAAACGAUCGUUCGACCGCGACAAAGUUCCACGGUAUCAGACCUUCCUGCUGAGUGGUCAGGUGCAAUACCUUCCACCAAUCUCGUUCCGUGUCAUCCAACACCUCCAUCCGAUCCCCCUUUUCAAAGCUCACGUCGGUGCUUUGUCUUGCCGCAUAUUUGUACAGGGCAACCACGAUCCGAUUGGCCCUUUGCGAGUGAGCUGUGUUCAAAAUUUGAGUGUAUAAAACAGUAGGUCCCAAAAGGCAUGAUCGAGUGAGACUCGUUGCUACGAGGGAAUAAAGCGAUUCUCAAUGACAAUCAUAGCAGUAGUCC